rnacentral:rRNA from 1 species
GGGCAGCAGGUUUGUAGCAAUACAGAUGCUGGCGACCGGCAAACGGGUGCGUAACACGUACGCAACCUUCCCGUUACUGGGGAAUAGCCCAGGGAAACUUGGAUUAAUACCCCAUAUUAUAUUGAUCAGGCAUCUGGUUAAUAUCAAAGCUUCGGCGGUAACGGAUGGGCGUGCGGCUGAUUAGGUAGUUGGCGGGGUAACGGCCCACCAAGCCUACGAUCAGUAGCUGAUGUGAGAGCAUGAUCAGCCACACGGGCACUGAGACACGGGCCCGACUCCUACGGGAGGCAGCAGUAAGGAAUAUUGGUCAAUGGACGAAAGUCUGAACCAGCCAUGCCGCGUGGAGGAUGAAGGUCCUCUGGAUUGUAAACUUCUUUUCUCUGGGGCGAAAAAAGCCUUUUCUAGGGCACUUGACAGUACCAGAGGAAUAAGCACCGGCUAACUCCGUGCCAGCAGCCGCGGUAAUACGGAGGGUGCAAGCGUUAUCCGGAUUCACUGGGUUUAAAGGGUGCGUAGGCGGGCAGGUAAGUCAGUGGYGAAAUCCCCGGGCUUAACUUGGGAACUGCCGUUGAUACUAUCUGUCUUGAAUAUCGUGGAGGUGAGCGGAAUAUGUCAUGUAGCGGUGAAAUGCUUAGAUAUGACAUAGAACACCCAUUGCGAAGGCAGCUCACUACACGAUAAUUGACGCUGAGGCACGAAAGCGUGGGAGCAAAC